rnacentral:rRNA from 1 species
GUUGGGUAGGGGAGCGUUCUGUAAGCCUGUGAAGGUGUGCUGUGAGGYAUGCUGGAGGUAUCAGAAGUGCGAAUGCUGACAUAAGUAACGAUAAUGCGGGUGAAAAACCCGCACGCCGGAAGACCAAGGGUUCCUGUCCAACGUUAAUCGGGGCAGGGUGAGUCGACCCCUAAGGCGAGGCAGAAAUGCGUAGUCGAUGGGAAACGGGUUAAUAUUCCCGUACUGGUGAUAAUUGCGAUGGGGGGACGGAGAAGGCUAGGCUAUCCGGGCGACGGUUGUCCCGGUUUAAGGAUGUAGGCAGGUGAAUUAGGCAAAUCCGGUUCACUAUAUGCUGAGGUCCGAYGACGAGUCACUACGGUGAUGAAGUAGCUCAUGCCCCGCUUCCAGGAAAAGCCUCUAAGCUCUAGAUUAUCAUUAAUCGUACCCCAAACCGACACAGGUGGUCAGGUAGAGAAUACUCAGGCGCUUGAGAGAACUCGGGUGAAGGAACUAGGCAAAAUGGUGCCGUAACUUCGGGAGAAGGCACGCUGGCAUUAGGUGAAGUGAUUUACUCAUGGAGCUGAAGCCAGUCGCAGAUACCAGCUGGCUGCAACUGUUUAUUAAAAACACAGCACUGUGCAAACACGAAAGUGGACGUAUACGGUGUGACGCCUGCCCGGUGCUGGAAGGUUAAUUGAUGGGGUUAUCCGUAAGGAGAAGCUCUUGAUCGAAGCCCCAGUAAACGGCGGCCGUAACUAUAACGGUCCUAAGGUAGCGAAAUUCCUUGUCGGGUAAGUUCCGACCUGCACGAAUGGCGUAAUGAUGGCCAGGCUGUCUCCACCCGAGACUCAGUGAAAUUGAACUCGCUGUGAAGAUGCAGUGUACCCGCGGCAAGACGGAAAGACCCCGUGAACCUUUACUAUAGCUUGACACUGAACAUUGAGCCUUGAUGUGUAGGAUAGGUGGGAGGCUUYGAAGCGUGGACGCCAGUCUGCGUGGAGCCAACCUUGAAAUACCACCCUUUAAUGUUUGAUGUUCUAACGUUGCCCCRUUAUCUGGGGUGCGGACAGUGUCUGGUGGGUAGUUUGACUGGGGCGGUCUCCUCCCAAAGAGUAACGGAGGAGCACGAAGGUUGGCUAAGCAUGGUCGGACAUCAUGCGGUUAGUGCAAAGGCAUAAGCCAGCUUGACUGCGAGAGUGACGGCUCGAGCAGGUACGAAAGUAGGUCUUAGUGAUCCGGUGGUUCUGAAUGGAAGGGCCAUCGCUCAACGGAUAAAAGGUACUCCGGGGAUAACAGGCUGAUACCGCCCAAGAGUUCAUAUCGACGGCGGUGUUUGGCACCUCGAUGUCGGCUCAUCACAUCCUGGGGCUGAAGUAGGUCCCAAGGGUACGGCUGUUCGCCGUUUAAAGUGGUACGCGAGCUGGGUUUAGAACGUCGUGAGACAGUUCGGUCCCUAUCUGCCGUGGGCGUUGGAAGAUUGAAAGGGGCUGCUCCUAGUACGAGAGGACCGGAGUGGACGCACCACUGGUGUUCGGGUUGUCAUGCCAAUGGCAUUGCCCGGUAGCUAAGUGCGGAAGAGAUAACCGCUGAAAGCAUCUAAGCGGGAAACUUGCCUUGAGAUGAGUCUUCCCUGAC